rnacentral:rRNA from 1 species
GACGAACGCUGGCGGCGUGCUUAACACAUGCAAGUCGAACGGAAAGGCCCUGCUUUUGUGGGGUGCACGAGAGGCGAACGGGUGAGUAAAACGUGAGUAACAUGCCCUUGAAUUUGGGAUAACUUCAGGAAACUGGGGCUAAUACCGGAUAGGAGAUACUGCUGCAUGGUGGGGGUUGGAAAGUUUCGGCGGUUGGGGAUGGACUCGUGGCUUAUCAGCUUGUUGGUGGGGUAGUGGAUUACCAAGGCUAUGAAGGGUAGCCGGCCUGAGAGGGUGACCGGCCACAUGGGGCCUGAGAUACGGCCCAGUCUCCUACGGGAGGCAGCAGUGGGGAGUAUUGCACAAUGGGCGGAAGCCUGAUGCAGCGACGCCGCGUGCGUGAUGACGGCCUUCUGGUGAUAAACCACUUUCGCCUUUGACGAAGCGGGAGUGACGGUAAUUGGUAAGGAAGCACCGGCUAACUACGUG